GACGAACGCUGGCGGCGUGCUUAACACAUGCAAGUCGAACGGAAAGGCCCUGCUUGCAGGGUACUCGAGUGGCGAACGGGUGAGUAACACGUGGGUGAUCUGCCCUGCACUUCGGGAUAAGCCUGGGAAACUGGGUCUAAUACCGGAUAGGAGCCAUUUUUAGUGUGAUGGUUGGAAAGUAUUUUCGGUGUAGGAUGAGCUCGCGGCCUAUCAGCUUGUUGGUGGGGUAAUGGCCUACCAAGGCGGCGACGGGUAGCCGGCCUGAGAGGGUGGACGGCCACAUUGGGACUGAGAUACGGCCCAGACUCCUACGGGAGGCAGCAGUGGGGAAUAUUGCACAAUGGGCGCAAGCCUGAUGCAGCGACGCCGCGUGGGGGAUGACGGCCUUCGGGUUGUAAACUCCUUUCGCUAGGGACGAAGCUUUUUGUGACGGUACCUAGAUAAGAAGCACCGGCUAACUACGUG
rnacentral:rRNA from 1 species